rnacentral:rRNA from 1 species
GCAUGAGCGUCAGUCACGUCCCAGGGGGCUGCCUUCGCCAUCGGUAUUCCUCCACAUCUCUACGCAUUUCACUGCUACACGUGGAAUUCUACCCCCCUCUGACGCACUCUAGCCUUGCAGUCACAAGCGCAAUUCCCAGGUUAAGCCCGGGGAUUUCACGCCUGUCUUACAAAACCGCCUGCGCACGCUUUACGCCCAGUAAUUCCGAUUAACGCUCGCACCCUACGUAUUACCGCGGCUGCUGGCACGUAGUUAGCCGGUGCUUAUUCUUCCGGUACCGUCAUCCACGCCAGGUAUUAACCAGCGCGAUUUCUUUCCGGACAAAAGUGCUUUACAACCCGAAGGCCUUCUUCACACACGCGGCAUUGCUGGAUCAGGGUUGCCCCCAUUGUCCAAAAUUCCCCACUGCUGCCUCCCGUAGGAGUCUGGGCCGUGUCUCAGUCCCAGUGUGGCUGAUCGUCCUCUCAGACCAGCUACUGAUCGUCGCCUUGGUGGGCCUUUACCCCACCAACUAGCUAAUCAGACAUCGGCCGCUCCUGCUGCGUGAGGCCUUGCGGUCCCCCACUUUCACCCUCAGGUCGUAUGCGGUAUUAGCUAAUCUUUCGACUAGUUAUCCCCCACAACAGGGUACGUUCCGAUGUAUUACUCACCCGUUCGCCACUCGCCGCCAGACCGAAGUCCGCGCUGCCGUUCGACUUGCAUGUGUAAGGCAUGCCGCCAGCGUUCAAUCUGAGCCAGGAUCAAACUCU